CCAACUUAUUUUUCUCUCUCGUCGCUCUAACCUAGGGUUUCAUACACUUUUCUGUCGCCGUGUAAACUCCGGCGAAAACCCAAGAUCAUCAAAGAUCUACUCCGACGAUGGUGGUUGUUCCGUGUUUGAUCGGCGCUGCAUGUUCUUCUUCUUCUCUCCCACACUCUCUCUCUCUCUCUCAGACAUUUCUUCCCAAACAACUGUAGGGUUAUUUCCGAUGUUGUUAGGGUUUGCGGUGUCAAUCGGUGCGUGGCUUGAUAAACACUCAAAUCGUCACUCUCUGCGCGUCUUAAUGUAUCCAGAUUUACCCUAACAUCAUCGAAACUCACUUCAUUUUGGCCCUCGGUAAAGGGAUAUCGUUUCUGGAUCUGGUCGAACAACAGGGGACCAAUCUUCGUUGUGUGAUAAUGUAAUUUAUGAGGUCAUUUGUUCCAUCAGUUUGUUGCUGUUCAAUCAUAAUUGGUGAGUACAUGAAGUAAAAUACUUAUUAAAGACAUGGGUUGUAAAUCAACACGAAGCAAGAAGAUAAUUGGUAUGUACCUUUUCAGUCUGGUAUUCUUGCUCCAUACAACUUCAUGUUUAUCAGACAAUAAUUCUCAUAGGAACAUAACCCUACCCUAGUUAUACAGGAACCUAAAAAAUCUGCAGUUAACAUAUGUACAAUAUUGUAUU